GCUGAAAACCCUUAUGAGCAGAAUCAACAGACUAUAAAUCCAAGAGGGCUUCAGAGAGAAAUCAGCCUGCACAGAGAGAGAGAGAGAGAGACGCCAGCAGAAAGCGGGAAUUAAUUUGCGCCUCGCUUAAAUCUCUGCAGAUCAGAAGAUUCCACAACUCCACGAGGUGAAGCGGUGUUUUGUACUGAGGAUUCGAAAUCGAAUUUAUCUGCUGGCAAGCUACCAGGCACGUACAGUAUGUCGUCGAGUUUCCCAGUUCAUAGGUUGUACCUCUGAUGAUGAUUCUCUGUUCUUUACUGUAGUUCUCGUGGAUUCCAUUGAUGCUUUCUCCGUGACCUAAACUUUCCCAAUACAUGUGAGUGUCAUGCCUAUUUCCAUAUCAACCAAUUUCCAACUUAUCCUCUAAUCAUCAUGUGCCCAAACCAUUUAGAAACACCCUCCUCAUUUGUGGUAUGAACUCCCCAAUGAAUUCCAGCCAAAAACUGGUACGUAUUUUAUUAACACCUUUCGUAGGUCUCCACCAUUUUCUUGUAUUGUGACUAUUUAAAAUGUGUAUGGGUAAGGUAGUCUUACUUCCCAUUUAUUGUUUGAGAUCAAGUUUGGAGAAUGAAGACUGGAAGAAUCAUAUCAAGAGCCUAGCACAGGCUGUAAAAAAGAUACUAAGUGUGCCCUUUAAUAAAUCCAAGUUGGAGGUAAGAGCUGGCUCACUGAUGAAACUAAAAAAAAAUGGCAUGUGGUACCUAUUUGUGAGCAUUAUGGAAGAGCAAAUGAAUGCACCCACCUCUUUGUAACUACUAUUGUCCCUGCAAGUGAUGUAAGUGUAGGGGAAGCAAAGAGAAGUUCAUUCAAGGCCUUAAAUAAAGGAACUCCAUUAAAAAUUUUUAUGAAUAUUACCUUAUCAGCUUCGGAUCCUUUUUCAAAUACAAAUAGUCAAGAGAGCAAAGGUUAUGUUUGUAGUCAAAAACAAAAGUGGCUGGAAGUAAAUAAUCCAGGGCUAAAGCCAAUGUUUCAUCCAUAUUGAUGCACUUUUGCAUAGAUUUCUGAUACCAUAUGGUAAAUAUUUGGUUUAUGUACUGUUGCCAAACUUCUUCCUGACUUAUAAUCUGACCACAAUUAAUCUGUAUCCCUAAAUUUGAGGUUCUUUAAUAGGGUUAUAAAAUCCUAAUUACCCCUCCCAUGGGCUUUCUAGAAGAAAGAGACUGUUACAGGACAAGGGCAAGGGCGACUUAAUUUACAAUCUUUGAGGAUCCAAUAACAGUAUUUUGUUAUAAUUUAUUUUCAUCAGUGAGUCUGGGCUAGCUAUUGGGAAUCUGUAUAAUUCAAUUAGAUGAAUAGAAAUUAAAUUAUCCUUUUCUUUCCCUGUAUCAAAGCAGUUUAAUGUAAGAUUUCAAUUCCCCAUUUACUGUAAUUUUUUUUAUUAUAAUUCAUCCUUUAGUUGUCAUCAAUUUUCAGUUCUUUCGCUCAUUCCGUGUCCUCAGUGUUAAAAACCCCAGAACAAUAGUGUAAAGAUGUUUAAUUUUUUUACUAUUAACAAGUAUUAUAUACCAAGGUCAACGAUAAUUAAUAAAAAAGUUGAAAGAGGAUAGUAUAAGAGGGGAAUUCUUCUAAAGUAUAGUAGAAGUUGUUGAGGUUUGUGUUAACAAUUGUCAAUUUGCAUAAGCUACCUUUAUCAUGUCCCUUAUAAAGUCAUCAGUGCAAGAUGAAGGCAACUGACCAUGAGUAUUGGAGAACUGAUGAGCUUCCCAGAGGCCUUUUGUGUAGGUUUUUAGUAUAAGAUCAUUAAUUAAUAUAGGGUGAGUGAGUCAAUUAAAUCUGUCUUGUUUCUGUUUUGAGGAAAAUGGCUCAGUUGGGAGAAAAUGUAAAUCCUGAUUAAUUACUUGUUAAAUGUGUAAACAGAAAAUAUAAAGUUUCCAAGGUGUACUCAUUUAUUUUUUUUACUAAUAUUAUUUAAAAUGAAUCUACUCAUAUGAGAAAAUGUCAAUAACCUACCUGCUUAUUAAUAAUCUUGUUAAUGAGGUUUUCACUUAGUGUAAAUGAUGUUCCAACUCUUUUCCGA